UACGUAGGCAGCAAGCGUUGUUCGGAAUUACUGGGCGUAAAGAGUGUGUAGGCGGUGCUCCAAGUCUGUUGUGAAAUCUCCCGGCUUAACUGGGAGGGUGCAGCGGAAACUAGAGUGCUAGAGGGUGGGAGAGGUAAGCGGAAUUCCUGGUGUAGCGGUGAAAUGCGUAGAUAUCAGGAGGAACACCUGUGGUGUAGACAGCUUACUGGACCACUUCUGACGCUGAGACACGAAAGCGUGGGUAGCAAACAGG
rnacentral:rRNA from 1 species